rnacentral:lncRNA from 1 species
GCAGCCCGCCAGGGUGUCACUGGAGACAGAAUGGAGGUGCUGCCGGACUCGGAAAUGGGGUCCAAGGGUAGCCAAGGAUGGCUGCAGCUUCAUAUGAUCAGUUGUUAAAGCAAGUUGAGGCACUGAAGAUGGAGAACUCAAAUCUUCGACAAGAGCUAGAAGAUAAUUCCAAUCAUCUUACAAAACUGGAAACUGAGGCAUCUAAUAUGAAGGUAUCAAGACUGUGACUUUUAAUUGUAGUUUAUCCAUUUUUAUUCAGUAUUCCCUCUUGUAAACUUGAGGAAGUACUUAAACAACUACAAGGAAGUAUUGAAGAUGAAGCUAUGGCUUCUUCUGGACAGAUUGAUUUAUUAGAGCGUCUUAAAGAGCUUAACUUAGAUAGCAGUAAUUUCCCUGGAGUAAAACUGCGGUCAAAAAUGUCCCUCCGUUCUUAUGGAAGCCGGGAAGGAUCUGUAUCAAGCCGUUCUGGAGAGUGCAGUCCUGUUCCUAUGGGUUCAUUUCCAAGAAGAGGGUUUGUAAAUGGAAGCAGAGAAAGUACUGGAUAUUUAGAAGAACUUGAGAAAGAGAGGUCAUUGCUUCUUGCUGAUCUUGAC